GGGGUGCUCGACGACCUGGUGGCCGACGGCCUGCUGCGCCGCCGCCCGACCGGCUGGUUCUGGACCAGCCGCGACCUG
rnacentral:tRNA from 1 species